UACAGAGGUCUCAAGCGUUGUUCGGAUUCAUUGGGCGUAAAGGGUGCGUAGGCGGCGCGGUAAGUCAGUGGUGAAAUCUCCGGGCUUAACCCGGAAACUGCCAUUGAUACUAUUUGUCUUGAAUACUGUGGAGGUCAGCGGAAUAUGUCAUGUAGCGGUGAAAUGCUUAGAUAUGACAUAGAACACCAAUUGCGAAGGCAGCUGGCUACACAAAUAUUGACACUGAGGCACGAAAGCGUGGGGAUCAAACAGG
rnacentral:rRNA from 1 species